AUUGAACGCUGGCGGAAUGCUUUACACAUGCAAGUCGAACGGGGGUAGCAAUACCCUAGUGGCGAACGGGUGAGUAAUACAUCGGAACGUACCCUGACGUGGGGGAUAACACAUCGCAAGGUGUGCUAAUACCGCAUACGUCCUGAGGGAGAAAGCGGCGGAUCGCAAGACCUCGCGCGUUUGGAGCGGCCGAUGGCGGAUUAGCUAGUUGGUGGGGUAAAGGCCUACCAAGGCGACGAUCCGUAGCUGGUCUGAGAGGACGACCAGCCACACUGGGACUGAGACACGGCCCAGACUCCUACGGGAGGCAGCAGUGGGGAAUUUUGGACAAUGGGCGAAAGCCUGAUCCAGCCAUUCCGCGUGAGUGAAGAAGGCCUUCGGGUUGUAAAGCUCUUUCGGCAGGAACGAAACGGCUAGGGCUAAUAUCCCUGGUCAAUGACGGUACCUGAAGAAGAAGCACCGGCUAACUACGUGCCAGCAGCCGCAGUAAAAC
rnacentral:rRNA from 1 species